UAAAAGUAAAACAAAUAUGUCUUGCUCAUCUUAUAAAUAUUAGAAAAUAUUAUGGUUAAAUGACUAUCAUUAUUUGAACAUAUUUGGCAAUAGUAGUUAAUCGAAAUCGCUUUCACUUUUUUAAUGUGUGAAGCUGUUUACGUUUUGUAUGUUUGUUAUUGUUUGGUCGCACUUUCCAAUAGAUGGUUUCCAGUACUAGUUGCAUGUGAAGAAAGCUUGGCUGAAUCAUUUUGAAUUAAUUGAAACUGAAUUGCAACCUUCCACUUGUGCCUAUUUUGUAAAAGCAGAAAAGUAAAAGAAUUUUUCACCUGCAACCUGAUGCCUGCGAGAACAAUGGGCAAUUCCACCAACAAUCGUUACCGAACACUAAAUGAUGAGGGUGAAAAUGAAAGCGAAGAAAAGUUGACUUGUGAUUGGGAUUAUCUGACAAUGACAAUAUUUGUUUUAAAAAUAGUCUUAUGGUGCCUAUUAAUGGCUUUAUUUAUUACU